AGUGAGCUCCCGUAGUGGCUGCUGCAGUGUCCUGUAUAAAUCUUUAUGCAGUGAACUCCCGUAGUGGCAGCUGCAUGUCCUGUAUAAAUCUUUAUGCAGUGAACUCCCGUAGUGGCAGCUGCAUGUCCUGUAUAAAUCUUUAUGCAGUGAGCUCC